CCCACCGUUGAAACGGUGGGCUAGUGUCAGUCGUCCUUCCAGGACG
rfam:Bacterium TASB270 DNA, scaffold: TASB270_scaffold_2.